rnacentral:rRNA from 1 species
UUGGAUUUGCGGGCUGCUUACCAUGCAAGUCGAACGGCAGCGGGUCCUUCGGGACGCCGGCGAGUGGCGAACGGGUGAGUAAUGCAUCGGAACGUACCCAGUAGUGGGGGAUAACUUACCGAAAGGUAAGCUAAUACCGCAUACGCACUGAGGUGGAAAGCAGGGGACCGCAAGGCCUUGCGCUAUUGGAGCGGCCGAUGUCGGAUUAGCUAGUUGGUGGGGUAAAGGCCUACCAAGGCGACGAUCCGUAGCGGGUCUGAGAGGAUGAUCCGCCACACUGGAACUGAGACACGGUCCAGACUCCUACGGGAGGCAGCAGUGGGGAAUUUUGGACAAUGGGCGCAAGCCUGAUCCAGCCAUGCCGCGUGAGUGAGGAAGGCCUUCGGGUUGUAAAGCUCUUUCGGCCGGGAAGAAAUCGUGGUGGCUAAUACCUGCCAUGGAUGACGGUACCGGACUAAGAAGCACCGGCUAACUACGUGCCAGCAGCCGCGGUAAUACGUAGGGUGCGAGCGUUAAUCGGAAUUACUGGGCGUAAAGCGUGCGCAGGCGGUUGUGUAAGACAGGCGUGAAAUCCCCGGGCUCAACCUGGGAACUGCGCUUGUGACUGCACGGCUAGAGUACGGCAGAGGGGGGUGGAAUUCCACGUGUAGCAGUGAAAUGCGUAGAGAUGUGGAGGAACACCGAUGGCGAAGGCAGCCCCCUGGGUCGAUACUGACGCUCAUGCACGAAAGCGUGGGGAGCAAACAGGAUUAGAUACCCUGGUAGUCCACGCCCUAAACGAUGUCGACUAGUUGUUGGAGGGGUAAAACCCUUUAGUAACGUAGCUAACGCGUGAAGUCGACCGCCUGGGGAGUACGGGCCGCAAGGUUAAAACUCAAAGGAAUUUGACGGGGACCCGCACAAGCGGUGGAUGAUGUGGAUUAUUCGAUGCAACGCGAAAAUCUUUACCUACCCUUGACAUGCCAGGAACUUGCCAGAGAUGGCUUGGUGCCCGCAAGGGAACCUGG